GCCAGUGUGGUGUAGUGGUUUGAGCACUAAACUACAACUCUGGAGACUAGGGUUCUAAUCUCUGCUCCAUCA